rnacentral:rRNA from 1 species
UCGACGGUGAGGGAUGAAAGCUGGGGGAGCAAACCGGAUUAGAUACCCGGGUAGUCCCAGCUGUAAACUAUGCAAACUCAGUGAUGCAUUGGCUUGUGGCCAAUGCAGUGCUGCAGGGAAGCCGUUAAGUUUGCCGCCUGGGAAGUACGUACGCAAGUAUGAAACUUAAAGGAAUUGGCGGGGGAGCACCACAAGGGGUGAAGCCUGCGGUUCAAUUGGAGUCAACGCCAGAAAUCUUACCCGGAGAGACAGCAGAAUGAAGGUCAAGCUGAAGACUUUACCAGACAAGCUGAGAGGUGGUGCAUGGCCGUCGCCAGCUCGUGCCGUGAGAUGUCCUGUUAAGUCAGGUAACGAGCGAGAUCCCUGCCUCUAGUUGCCACCAUUACUCUCAGGAGUAGUGGGGCGAAUUAGCGGGACCGCCGCAGUUAAUGCGGAGGAAGGAAGGGGCCACGGCAGGUCAGUAUGCCCCGAAACUCUGGGGCCACACGCGGGCUGCAAUGGUAACGACAAUUGGUUUCGAAUCCGAAAGAUGGAGGUAAUCCCUAAACGUUACCACAGUUAUGAUUGAGGGCUGCAACUCGCCCUCAUGAAUAUGGAAUCCCUAGUAACCGCGUGUCAUUAUCGCGCAGUGAAUACGUCCCUGCUCCUUGCACUCACCGCCCGU